rnacentral:rRNA from 1 species
GACGAACGCUGGCGGCGUGCUUAACACAUGCAAGUCGAACGAUGAAGCACCAGCUUGCUGGUGUGGAUUAGUGGCGAACGGGUGAGUAACACGUGAGUAACCUGCCCCUCACUCUGGGAUAAGCCUGGGAAACUGGGUCUAAUACUGGAUACGACCGAUCUCCGCAUGGAGUGUUGGUGGAAAGUUUUUGUGGUGGGGGAUGGACUCGCGGCCUAUCAGCUUGUUGGUGGGGUAGUGGCCUACCAAGGCGACGACGGGUAGCCGGCCUGAGAGGGCGGCCGGCCACACUGGGACUGAGACACGGCCCAGACUCCUACGGGAGGCAGCAGUGGGGAAUAUUGCACAAUGGGCGAAAGCCUGAUGCAGCGACGCCGCGUGAGGGAUGACGGCCUUCGGGUUGUAAACCUCUUUCACCAGGGACGAAGCUAACGUGACGGUACCUGGAGAAGAAGCACCGGCUAACUACGUG